rnacentral:rRNA from 1 species
GGCCUAACACAUGCAAGUCGAGCGGGGUGUAGCAAUACACCUAGCGGCGGACGGGUGAGCAAUACAUAGGAAUCUACCUUUUAGUGGGGGAUAGCCCGGGGAAACCCGGAUUAAUACCGCAUGAUGUCGCAAGACCAAAGCGGGGGACCGUAAGGCCUCGCGCUGAAAGAUGAGCCUAUGUCUGAUUAGCUAGUUGGCGGGGUAAAAGCCCACCAAGGCUACGAUCAGUAGCUGGUUUGAGAGAACGAUCAGCCACACCGGAACUGAGACACGGUCCGGACUCCUACGGGAGGCAGCAGUGGGGAAUAUUGGACAAUGGGCGAAAGCCUGAUCCAGCAAUUCCGCGUGUGUGAAGAAGGCCUUCGGGUUGUAAAGCACUUUAGGCAGGGAAGAAAAAAUCGGAGUGAAUAACUCCGGUCUUGACGGUACCUGAGAAAUAAGCACCGGCUAACUCUGUGCCAGCAGCCGCGGUAAUACAGAGGGUGCAAGCGUUAAUCGGAUUUACUGGGCGUAAAGCGUGCGUAGGCGGUUCAUUAAGUCGGUUGUGAAAUCCCUGGGCUUAACCUGGGAACUGCAGUCGAUACUGGUGGACUAGAGUACGGUAGAGGGUGGCGGAACUCCGGGUGUAGCGGUGAAAUGCGUAGAUAUCCGGAAGAACACCGAUGGCGAAGGCAACCACCUGGGCCUGUACUGACGCUGAGGUACGAAAGCGUGGGGAGCAAACAGGAUUAGAUGCCCUGGUAGUCCACGCUGUAAACGAUGAGAACUUGACGUCGGUUCGCCUAGCGAAUCGGUGUCGUAGCUAACGCGCUAAGUUCUCCGCCUGGGGAGUACGGCCGCAAGGUUGAAACUCAAAGGAAUUGA